GUAAAUGUGUUGGUUGUUAUCCUCGUUGUGAUUGGUAAAUGUGUUGGUUGUUAUCCUCGUUGUGAUUGGUAAAUGUGUUGGUUGUUAUCGUUGUGAUUGGAUGGGAGUAUGUCUAGACAGAGAGGACAGAGAAGUAGACCAUGUGAACAAGGGGAUCAGACUCAUUUACUGAAAUAUAUAACGGUUCAAAUCCUCGUCUUUCUGGGACCGGACGGCCGGACGGCCGGACUGACUGACUGACCGGCCCGGACUGACUGACUGACUGACUGACCGACCGGACUGACUGACUGACUGGCUGACUGACCGCCCUGACUGACUGACUGACUGACUGAGACUGACUGACUGACCGCCCGGACUGACUGGCUGACUGGCUGACUGGCUGACUGACUGACUGACUGACUGACUGACUGACCGACUGACUGACUGACUGACUGACUGACCGCCCGGACUGACUGACUGGCUGACUGGCUGACUGGCUGACUGACUGACCGGCCGGACUGACUGUUUUUUUUCAGCUGUGAUUGUAAAUGGAGACUGAACGGAGAGGCUUCAAGGCUGGCGAGGCUUACACACACACACACACACACACACACACACACACACACACACACACACACACACACACACACACACACACACACACACACACACACACACACACACAGUGGUUGGCUACUCACACAAAAGACCAGCAAUAAUAAUGACUGAAUGAAAUGACAGUAAUGGUUCAGCAGUAGUUCUGAUAGUAUCUCUGAAACCCUGUCCCUGUGUCUACACAAUAAAAGGUGUGUGUGUCUGUGUGUGUGUGUGUGUCUGUGUGUGUGAUACCCUGUCCCUGUGUCUACACAAUAAAAGGUGUGUGUGUCUGUGUGUGUGUUACCCUGUCCCUGUGUCUACACAAUAAAAGGUGUGUGUGUCUGUGUGUGUGUGUCUGUGUGUGUCUGUGUUUGUCUGUGUGUGUGUUACCCUGUCCCUGUGUCUACACAAUAAAAGGUGUGUGUGUCUGUGUGUGUGUUACCCUGUCCCUGUGUCUACACAAUAAAAGGUGUGUGUGUGUGUGUCUGUGUGUGUCUGUGUGUGUGUGUGUGUGUGUCUGUGUGUGUGUUUGUCUGUUUGUCUGUGUGUCUGUGUGUGUGUGUGUGUGUCUGUGUGUGUCUGUGUGUGUGUUUGUCUGAGAGCCCAUCCAGCCGACGCGACGCACAAUCACAUUACUCAGAGGCUGCUCCAAAACACCGCCGGCUGGGAAGUGGUAUUUGGACUUCUAGCCCGACUCAGGAGGAAGGGGCACACCAUCCACCGCUUCCGAGUAUAUUACUCGCUAACGUUCAGUCUCCCUGGAUAAUAAAGUAGACGUCUCUCUGGAAGGAUAUGCUCACACUGAGCUCAUCAGGUACAUCAAAGCUGGGACCGAGAGACUGAAAAACAGCUUCUAUCUCAAGGCCAUCAGACUGUUAAACAGCCAUCACUAGCCGGCUUCCACCCGGUUACGCAAUCCUGCACCUUAGAGGCUGCUGCCUCUCAUACAUAGACAUGGAAUCACUGGCCACUUUAAAUAAUGGAACACUAGUCACUCUAAUAAUGUUUACACACUGUUAAUAAUUUACUAAACUCAACUGUACAUACUGUAUUCUAUUCUACUGUAUUUUAGUCUAUGCCACUCUGACAUUGCUCAUCCUAAUAUUAAUAUAUUUCUUUAUUACAUUUGACUAGUUUUAGAUUUGUGUGUAUUGUUGUGUAUUGUUAGAUAUUACUGCACUGUUGGAGAUAAGAACACAAGCAUUUCGCUACACCCGCAAUAACAUCUGCUAAAUAUGUGUAUGUGACCAAUAAACAUUUAUUUGAUUCAA